rnacentral:lncRNA from 1 species
CCAAGAUUGUGCCAUUGCACUCCAGCCGGGGUGACAGAGUGAGAUUCUGUCUCAAAAGAAAAAGAAAAGAAAAGAAAAAGAAAGAAGAAACUUAAGCAGGGAAGGAGACUGGGGUAUAACCUUACAAGGAGGACAAUGAAACUUAGAUGACAUCCGGGAAGAUCGUAACCCCAUAGUACUCGACCAAUGAAGAACUAGCGGAGGGACUUGUGUGCUAGAAGAUAAAUUACCUGUUGUGACUGCCCCAGUUGUGCCUGCCCACCAGACACCUGAUCUUGCAAGACCGUUACUAAAUGUCUCCUUUUCACUGUUCUUCAGGCCUCUAAGUCCAUUCUCUGGAUUUGGACAGGUCUUCUGACGCAAGCUCUGCCUCUUGAGUUCAUGGUUCACUACUUCCAGCCUGGCAACUUGGUGCUGACUAAGAUUUGGAAAGAAGACAAGCUCCACCCAAGCUGGGAAGGUCCCUGUCAAGUGCCUCUGCCCCUGAGACAGCCCUGCGAACAGCUGAAUGGGGGUGGACUCACUACACUGGAAUCAAGAGGCCGGUAAAAGAGACCUGGAAAGGGAAGGAGAAAGAACAGUGGGAAGUGCAUGGGUCACCUGACGAACACUUAAAGUUAACUCUGAGAAAAAUUUAGAAAGAAAGCGUGGGCUGGCUGCAUUUCUGAAAGGUAAUAAGGCUGGGAUGGGUUAGUAUACAAAGAGCAGAAGGUCAAAAUGGAAACUGGCAGGGGACUCCCCACUGCUCAAUCAGGUUGGUGAUUAAUAUGAUUAAGACGGUAGCACCCCAAACUAUAAGAUUUGAUGCCUGUCAGGUUUUACCUUGUGGGAAUUUAGAAAAUCAGAGACAGCUCUCGCAGGCAGAUAAAUCUCUUUGCCUUGAACCAGAUGCAGGUUGCAGUAGGGCAUCACCCUUCCCCAGCUGGGAGGAUGUAUGGUGCGCUACCCAAUUUCAGGGUUGGACAGUAAACAUGGUGUGGGUAACUCCAAACUGGAAACCCUUGAAGCAUAAACUACCUCUGUCCAAGCGCUCCCCACCAAAUAACUGCCAGAAUUUAGAAUGCCAUCCUAUACUCAUCACCCUUGACAAUUCAGCCUUUCUAGACCAAGAACCAAAAGUAGCAUCUCAGGUAUAUGGGUUAGGAGAAGACAUCACAAGGAAAGACCCCCAGGUCGAUUUGAUCUCAGGCUAAUCAAGAACUCAACCUCCCAUUUGCCUGGAACUACUCCAACCCCAGACCCUAAUAAACACUUUAGUCUACCAAAUAUUAACCCUAAAAUGGUAACAAUAAUUGAGGUAAAGGAUUUAAGGCAAACCUUAGAAAUUGAGACAGGGUAUAGGGAUGUGAAUGCCUGGGUCAAAUGGGUCAUAUUUUCGGUACAAGCCCUCAGCAAAAGUAACUGCUACGCGUGUGCUGCAGGACCACCUCAGGCGCAGGUGGUUCCGUUUCCCCUGGGAUGGAAUAGUGAUUCUAGAGGAAUGUGUUGCAUGUUGGCUGCAUACCAGCACAAUGAUAUAAGUAAGGAGAAGUAAGACUUGUAAGAGUCUUUCAUUGCUGUUUCCUGCAUUGCGGAGCUCAGAUCCCAGAGCAAUACCCUCGUUCUCUGCAGAGAACAUGAACUACUCCUCUUGCCUCUCUAGACAGGGGGCAGAGUUCCAUAAGCCUAUGGGAGAACUCUCAACUUGUACCCACAUCCUAAACGUCACUGGUGAGUUGAGCAAUGGCAAUUACUCAGCUCUCCAUACACCCCGGGCUGAUGUCUGGUAGUAUUAUGGGAAAAGGAACCUACGUAACCUGUUACUGUCCAAUGGGACCAGGACUUGUGCUUUAGUCUCAUUGGCCAUUCCCUUCACCCUGGCAUCCCAUAAGAUACCCCAAAAUACACAUGGCCACUGAAACCAG